UACGUAGGGGGCAAGCGUUGUCCGGAUUCAUUGGGCGUAAAGAGCGUGUAGGCGGCCAGGUAGGUCGGUUGUGAAAACUGGAGGCUCAACCUUCAGAGGUCGACCGAAACCAUCUGGCUAGAGUCCGGGAGAGGAGAGUGGAAUUCCUGGUGUAGCGGUGAAAUGCGCAGAUAUCAGGAAGAACACCCGUGGCGAAAGCGGCUCUCUGGAACGGUACUGACGCUGAGGCGCGAAAGCGUGGGUAGCAAACAGG
rnacentral:rRNA from 1 species